CCGGGCUGGAGGCGCCGCCGGAGCCUGCCUUCAGUAACGCAAGAUGGAGUAAACUUAUUUCAAAGACUUGCAAAUUAAUACUGGUUGUCUCCUGUCCUAAGUGCCAUACAAACAUAGAGAAAGAAAUGAUCCCUUCCCUGAAGGUCUUCCCUGAUGAUCUGAAACAAGAAGGAGCUGAUGGAGAUAUACUAAAAUAGGCCUUGCAGGGCUGCCAAGCCGGCUUCCACUUUUGUUAAAUCAGAUGGGUUUUUUGAUGAAUCUGCAGUGGAUGUGGUGGUGUAUUGAGCACUACACGGAGCUAAAACUACUGA